UACAGAGGGUGCUAGCGUUGUUCGGAAUCAUUGGGCGUAAAGGGCAUGCAGGCGGUCCGACACGUUUUGUGUGACAGCGGGUGGCUUAACUACCCGAGGAUGCGAAAGACGGUUGGACUUGAGGACUCGAGAGGGACACGGAAUUCCGGGUGGAGUGGUGAAAUGCGUAGAGAUCCGGAGGAACACCGAAGGCGAAGGCAGUGUCCUGGCGAGUGACUGACGCUGAGGUGCGAAAGCCAGGGAGCGAACGGG
rnacentral:rRNA from 1 species